AGAGUUUGAUCCUGGCUCAGGAUAAACGCUGGCGGCGUGCCUUACCAAUGCGAGUCGAACGGGCGGUUCUACGGGACUGUCAGUGGCGGCCGGGUGCGUAACACGUGGGUGACCAACCCACCUCUGGGGGAUACCCCUCCGAAAGGAGGGCUAAGACCGCAUGGCCUGUCUUGUUUACGGACGAGACAGGAAAGCCUUCGGUGAGGAGCCGAGGGUGGAGGUGGACGGGCCCGUGGCCUAUCAGCUGGUCGGUGGGGUAACGGCCUACCGAGGCGACGACGGGUAGCCGGUCUGAGAGGACGGACGGCCACAGUGGGACUGGGACAUGGUCCACAGCCCUACGGGGUUUAGCAUGGAGGAAUCUUGCGCAACGGGCGAAGGCUCGGCGCAGCAACGCCGCGUGGGGGAGGAAGGCUCUCGGGUCGUAAACCCCUGUUGCUCGGGAAGAAGUACCGUGGAGGAGAGCUUCACGGGAAGACGGUACCGGGCGAGGAAGCCCCGGCUAACUACGUGCCAGCAGCCGCGGUAAUACGUAGGGGGCAAGCGUUAUCCGGAUUUAUUGGGCGGUAAAGCGCGGCGCAGGCGGUCACGGGUAGUGCCACGUGAAAUUCUCCCGGCUCACCUGGGAGCGGCCGUGGCAGACGGCGUGACUGGAGGCAGGGCGAGGGUCGCGGAACGGGCGGAGUAGGGGUGAAAUCCGUAGAGACCGUCCGGAACACCCGUGGCGCAGGCGGCGACCUGGACCUGACCUGACGCUCAGGCGCGAAAGCGUGGGGAGCGAACGGAAUUAGAUACUCCGGUAGUCCACGCCCUAAACGAUGCCGACUCGGUGUCGGGGGUAUCGACCCCUCCGGCGCCCCAGCUAACGCGGUAAGUCGGCCGCCUGGGGACUACGGCCGCAAGGCUAAAACUCAAAGGAAUUGACGGGGGCCCGCACAAGCAGCGGAGCGGUGUGGAUUAAUUCGAUGCAACGCGCAGAACCUUACCUAGGCUUGACAUGGCUCUAGUACCAACCCGAAAGGGGAGGGACCCGCAAGGGAGGAGUCACCGGUGCUGCAUGGCUGUCGUCAGCUCGUGCCGUGAGGUGUUGGGUUAAGUCCCGCAACGAGCGCAACCCCCGUGCCUAGUUGCCGUUUCUAGGCAGACUGCCGGGUGAACCCCGGAGGAAGGUGGGGAUGACGUCAAGUCCGCAUGGCCCUUACGUCUAGGGCUUCACACACGCUACAAUGGCCGGUGCAGAGGGUUGCCACUGCGCGAGCAGCAGCUAAUCCCUCAAUGCCGGCCUCAGUCCAGAUGGUAGGCUGCAACUCGCCUGCCUGAAGUCGGAGUUGCUAGUAACCGCGCGUCAGCAUAGUGCGGUGAAUGCGUUCCCGGGCCUUGUACACACCGCCCGUCACACCACGAAAGCCG
rnacentral:rRNA from 1 species